GUCCACGCCCUAAACGAUGUCAACUGGGUGUUCGGGAAACGAUUCCUGGGUACCGUAGCUAACGCGUGAAGUUGACCGCCUGGGGAGUACGGCCGCAAGGUUAAAACUCAAAGGAAUUGACGGGGACCCGCACAAGCGGUGGAUGAUGUGGAUUAAUUCGAUGCAACGCGAACAACCUUACCUACCCUUGACAUGUCCGAGAGCCCGCUGAGAGGUGGGUGUGCCCGAAAGGGAAUCGGAACACAGGUGCUGCAUGGCUGUCGU
rnacentral:rRNA from 1 species